rnacentral:tRNA from 2 species
GGCGCGUUCGUCUAGUGGUUAGGACGCCGGCCUCUCACGCCGGUAGCACGGGUUCGACUCCCGUACGCGCUG